GAUCAUGGCUCAGGAUGAACGCUGGCGGCGUGCUUAACACAUGCAAGUCGAACGAGAGAUGAGGAGCUUGCUCUUCAAAUCGAGUGGCGAACGGGUGAGUAACGCGUGAGGAACCUGCCUCAAAGAGGGGGACAACAGUUGGAAACGACUGCUAAUACCGCAUAAGACCACAGAGUCGCAUGGCUCGGUGGGAAAAACUCCGGUGGUAUGAGAUGGACCCGCGUCUGAUUAGG
rnacentral:rRNA from 1 species